rnacentral:rRNA from 1 species
AAUCAACGCUGGCGGCGUGCCUCAGACAUGCAAGUCGAACGAUUAAAGCUCUCUUCGGAGAGUGUAUAGAGUGGCGCACGGGUGAGUAACACGUAAGUAAUCUACCUUCGAGUGGGGAAUAACGUCCGGAAACGGACGCUAAUACCGCAUAAUGCAGCGGCAUCGCAAGAUGACAGUUGUUAAAGGAAUUUAUUUCGCUUGAAGAGGAGCUUGCGGCAGAUAGCUAGUUGGUAAGGUAAUGGCUUACCAAGGCUACGAUCUGUAACCGGUCUAAGAGGACGGUCGGUCACACUGACACUGAAUAACGGGUCAGACUCCUACGGGAGGCAGCAGUCGGGAAUUUUGGGCAAUGGGCGAAAGCCUGACCCAGCAACGCCGCGUGAAGGAUGAAGUAUUUCGGU